UUCAGAGCACCGCUUAUCGAUUUAAUCAAUGGCCUUCCAGUAGAUUUCUCAAGUGUGCGCUUAAUUAUAACCGGUGUCGACGAUGAAAAGAGAUUUGCGCGCGUCCGGAUCACGUAAAUCUAGUAGUUUCCUCCGCGUUUCUCGUAUUUGACGUCAUAGUGGGCGCUGGAACGCGCCAACACGUGACCGCCUGAACGUGAACAAAUCUCUAACACACGUUACAAAUGGCGCAGAAAAUUGCGCAGAAUUAUAUUUUUCAUAGCUGUCAGGUAGGUUGGUCGAUCCACAGAUCAACGUAGAUCGAGAGACAAGAGCGAAUAGUGGAACGUCGAGUGCCGGGUCACUGGUCUCGUUAGCAAAUGUCCUCUUCGUCUUCGUAACGCGCGCGCACAUGCCGGCAAGAAAGUGGAAACGUUUAUUAUCCAGCACUUUCCACCGCAGGAAUUUUCUCCGUCCGCUUCACGGAAUCCUGUUGUUCGUUCCGCGGAAAUUAUGGGAGCGCGAACGAGGAAAAAGUAGCACGUACGAUGCUCGCGAGAGCAAUCGGCCUCCGACGCGAUUAUUUAUUCGUUUCGCCAUGUAUUCGGUCGUUUGCAUGGAAACUGAUGAAUUGGAGUUAUUCGCGGUGUAAAAAGUUCGCCAGUUAGCCAAGUGCAUGGACGGUGAAACGCUGAUUGAGAUACUGUCCACGAUUUCAUGGCGCGCGUGUAUGAAUAAUGUUUAUUCUUGUAUUAGAAACUUCGUCAUUAAAGCCUGAUAUUAUCAGAAGAUUCUUCGAUCAUGUUUUCACAGGAAUCGAUCGGCAACAAAACUUUCAAA